UGAGGCAACCGUUCCAGGAGAUGGCGCCGCAGCCUCGUUAACGAGUGCCCGGCAGACGGAAGGGAAAACCUGCAGGGUCCUUCGCGAAGUGACAAACUGCAGUAGGCAGCUGCAGUGGGAGCAGUGGCCCUGAGAUGAGAGGCCUGGCACAGCUGGCAGCAGUUUCCUGAUGCAAAACAAGGCUUGUAGAAAGAAUCCCUCUGCCUGGUGCAGGACCAGCUGGAGAAAGUUGCCCUCAGCUGCAUCCAGUUGAGUUUAUAGAAUUAAGCCGUAAUGGUGGGGACCACACAACCACUCUGGGCAACCUCUCCCAGUGCUUGACCACACUCACCAUAAAAUAAGUAAAUAAAUA